UAUACAUCCAAACUCAAAUUUUCAACCAUUUUCAAACUUCUUCUUCCUCGAGCCAUACAAGCCAAAAACCCUAUUUCUUCAUCAUUUUGGUGGAUUCAUGGUGCAAACAACUUUAUUUUAUAAUUCUAAAGUAACCCAUGAGAUCAAAAUCGUGUUUUAAGCAACAAAUCCAAAAAACCCAAAUUUCAAACCUAGAAUCCAGAAUUUCAAAACCUCCAUUGAAAUGACUUCAAGUUCAAAUCCUAAGUGUUUCAAGUCCAAAAGCUCCCAUGAAAAGGGUAAUACAUCAAAAUCCAAUAACCUACUUGACAUUUCAAGGCUUCUCUCAAAUGAGCAACAAAAGCAAGUGUUCUAUGAAGGACUUUUGGGAAAACCCCUUCUUCCAACAAAGUACACUCACUUUGCAAGAUUCCUUUAUAUUAGUCUUUUCACCUUCAUUGAUCAUCUGCAUUUUCAAGGGUUAGAGGAUUUUCAUCAAGACAAAGGAGUCUACUACCCUGAUUUGGUUCGUAUAUUCUACUACAAUCUUUAAGAAUAAAAAACCAUAUCCCAUAUUAAAUUUACUUUUAUUUGUUUAGACUUAGAAAGUCUAUGAGAAUUAUUGCAUGUGUCUGUUCAUUGUGCCAAACUUAGAUUUAGCAAUCCCUAAGAAUUUGAUAGGAAAUAAUUUUAUAUCUCCUUAUGCACAUAUGCUAAGAGGGAUAUACUAUCCCUAAAGAGACAAUGAGUUAGAUAUUCUUCGAAAACUCGAGAUAUUUUAACUGUUGGAAAUCUAACACUGGAUAAUCAUAUGUUACAUUAUUUCCGUGGUUACAUUAUGGUUCCUAAGACAUCAAAUCAUGGUCAAAUAAAUGACCUAUAAAUUCAACUGAUGGAUGCCAUUAAGAUAUCGACAUAGGAAGUUAACUGG
rnacentral:lncRNA from 1 species